rnacentral:rRNA from 1 species
CGAUGCUACACGAAGAACCUUACCAGGGUUUGACAUGCAAGUGUAGGAACUGAAAGGACGACCUUCGGGAGGCUUGCACAGGUGCUGCAUGGCUGUCGUCAGCUCGUGUCGUGAGAUGUUCGGUUAAGUCCGCUAACGAGCGCAACCCUCACUGUGUGUUAUAUGUGUCACACGGGACUGCCGGUUUUAAGCCGGAGGAAGGUGGGAUGACGUCAAGUCAGCAUGGCCUUUAUAUCCUGGGCUACACACACGCUACAAUGGUCGGUACAAUAGGUUGCCAAGCCGCGAGGCGGAGCCAAUCCAAAAAAGCCGGCCUCAGUUCAGAUUGUAGGCCGCAACUCGCCUGCAUGAAGAUGGAGUUGCUAGUAACCGCAGGUCAGCAAUACUGCGGUGAAUACGUUCCCGGGUCUU